AGCCGCGCCGCGUGAGUGAUGAAGGCCUUCGGGUUGUAAAGCUCUGUGGGGAGGGACGAAAAACCGGGGUUCGAAUAGGGCCACGGCUUGACGGUACCUCCUUAGCAAGCACCGGCUAACUCUGUGCCAGCAGCCGCGGUAAGACAGAGGGUGCGAACGUUGCUCGGAAUUACUGGGCGUAAAGCGCGUGUAGGCGGACCAUUAAGUCAGGUGUGAAAUCCCUGGGCUCAACCCAGGAACUGCACUUGAAACUGGCGGUCUUGAGUGAUGGAGAGGGAUACGGAAUUCCCGGUGUAGAGGUGAAAUUCGUAGAUAUCGGGAGGAACACCAGUGGCGAAGGCGGCAUCCUGGACAUUUACUGACGCUGAGACGCGAAAGCGUGGGGAGCAAACAGGAUUAGAUACCCUGGUAGUCCACGCCGUAAACGAUGAGUGCUAGGUGUCGCGGGUAUUGACCCCUGCGGUGCCGUAGCUAACGCGUUAAGCACUCCGCCUGGGGAGUACGGCCGCAAGGCUA
rnacentral:rRNA from 1 species